ACCUAGAGGUGUUGCAGAUGCAACUGCUGCAUCCCGUGGGUGUCAGGAGGUGGCAGAGGAGAGGGGCUAUUGUCUACGCUCAGUGUUCUGACCUGUGGACAUUUCAAUGAUUAGUAGCCUAAUAUU